GAGUUUGAUCGUGGCUCAGGAUGAACGCUGGCGGCGUGCUUAACACAUGCAAGUCGAACGGAACUUGUAAGUGGAAGUCUUCGGAUGGAAACUUACUUGUUUAGUGGCGGACGGGUGAGUAACGCGUGGGUAACCUGCCUUACACAGGGGGAGUAACAGCCGGAAACGGCUGCUAAUACCGCAUAAGCGCACAGCUUCGCAUGGAGUGGUGUGAAAAGAUUUUAUCGGUGUAAGAUGGACCCGCGUCUGAUUAGCUAGUUGGUGGGGUAACGGCCUACCAAGGCACGAUCAGUAGCCGGCUUGAGAGAGUGAACGGCCACAUUGGGACUGAGGGCACGGCCCAAACUCCUACGGGAGGCAGCAGUGGGGAAGUAUUGCACAAUGGGCGAAAGCCUGAUGCAGCGACGCCGCGUGAGUGAAGAAGUAUUUCGGUAUGUAAAGCUCUAUCAGCAGGGACGAAUAAAUGACGGUACCUGACUAAGAAGCCCCGGC
rnacentral:rRNA from 1 species